rnacentral:rRNA from 1 species
UGGGGAAUCUUGCACAAUGGGGGCAACCCUGAUGCAGCGACGCCGCGUGAGCGAUGAAGCCCUUCGGGGCGUAAAGCUCUUUCGACCGGAACGAUAAUGACGGUACCGGGAGAAGAAGCUGCGGCUAACUACGUGCCAGCAGCCGCGGUGAUACGUAGGCAGCAAGCGUUGUUCGGAGUUACUGGGCGUAAAGAGUGCGUAGGCGGUUUUCUAAGUUCGGUGUGAAAUCUCCCGGCUUAACUGGGAGGGUGCGCCGAAGACUGGGAAGCUGGAGUGUGGGAAAGGCAGGCGGAAUUCCUGGUGUAGCGGUGAAAUGCGUAGAUAUCAGGAGGAACACCGGCGGUGUAGACGGCUUGCUAGACCAUAACUGACGCUGAGGCACGAAAGCGUGGGUAGCAAACA